AAUGAACGCUGGCGGCGUGGAUUAGGCAUGCAAGUCGAACGGCCAGCAAUGGCAGUGGCGACCUGGUCAGUACAAGUUGGGUUACGUGCCCGGAAGUGGGGGACAACACCGAGAAAUCGGUGCUAAUACCGCAUGUGGACGAAAGUCCAAAGCAGCAAUGCGCUUCCGGAUCGGCCCGACCCUCAUUAGCUAGUUGGCGG
rnacentral:rRNA from 1 species